UACAUGCAGUCGAGCGGACAGAUGGGAGCUUGCUCCCUGAUGUUAGCGGCGGACGGGUGAGUAACACGUGGGUAACCUGCCUGUAAGACUGGGAUAACUCCGGGAAACCGGGGCUAAUACCGGAUGGUUGUUUGAACCGCAUGGUUCAAACAUAAAAGGUGGCUUCGGCUACCACUUACAGAUGGACCCGCGGCGCAUUAGCUAGUUGGUGAGGUAACGGCUCACCAAGGCAACGAUGCGUAGCCGACCUGAGAGGGUGAUCGGCCACACUGGGACUGAGACACGGCCCAGACUCCUACGGGAGGCAGCAGUAGGGAAUCUUCCGCAAUGGACGAAAGUCUGACGGAGCAACGCCGCGUGAGUGAUGAAGGUUUUCGGAUCGUAAAGCUCUGUUGUUAGGGAAGAACAAGUACCGUUCGAAUAGGGCGGUACCUUGACGGUACCUAACCAGAAAGCCACGGCUAACUACGUGCCAGCAGCCGCGGUAAUACGUAGGUGGCAAGCGUUGUCCGGAAUUAUUGGGCGUAAAGGGCUCGCAGGCGGUUUCUUAAGUCUGAUGUGAAAGCCCCCGGCUCAACCGGGGAGGGUCAUUGGAAACUGGGGAACUUGAGUGCAGAAGAGGAGAGUGGAAUUCCACGUGUAGCGGUGAAAUGCGUAGAGAUGUGGAGGAACACCAGUGGCGAAGGCGACUCUCUGGUCUGUAACUGACGCUGAGGAGCGAAAGCGUGGGGAGCGAACAGGAUUAGAUACCCUGGUAGUCCACGCCGUAAACGAUGAGUGCUAAGUGUUAGGGGGUUUCCGCCCCUUAGUGCUGCAGCUAACGCAUUAAGCACUCCGCCUGGGGAGUACGGUCGCAAGACUGAAACUCAAAGGAAUUGACGGGGGGCCCGCACAAGCGGUGGAGCAUGUGGGUUUAAUUCGAAGCAACGCGAAGAACCUUACCAGGUCUUGACAUCCUCUGACAAUCCUAGAGAUAGGACGUCCCCUUCGGGGGCAGAGUGACAGGUGGUGCAUGGUUGUCGUCAGCUCGUGUCGUGAGAUGUUGGGUUAAGUCCCGCAACGAGCGCAACCCUUGAUCUUAGUUGCCAGCAUUCAGUUGGGCACUCUAAGGUGACUGCCGGUGACAAACCGGAGGAAGGUGGGGAUGACGUCAAAUCAUCAUGCCCCUUAUGACCUGGGCUACACACGUGCUACAAUGGACAGAACAAAGGGCAGCGAAACCGCGAGGUUAAGCCAAUCCCACAAAUCUGUUCUCAGUUCGGAUCGCAGUCUGCAACUCGACUGCGUGAAGCUGGAAUCGCUAGUAAUCGCGGAUCAGCAUGCCGCGGUGAAUACGUUCCCGGGCCUUGU
rnacentral:rRNA from 1 species